GCCCUACGGGGGGCAGCAGUGAGGAAUAUUGGUCAAUGGGCGAGAGCCUGAACCAGCCAAGUCGCGUGAGGGAGUACUGCCCUAUGGGUUGUAAACCUCUUUUGUCGGGGAGCAAAAGCCGGACGUGUCCGGCUGUGAGAGUACCCGAAGAAAAAGCAUCGGCUAACUCCGUGCCAGCAGCCGCGGUAAUACGGAGGAUGCGAGCGUUAUCCGGAUUUAUUGGGUUUAAAGGGUGCGUAGGCGGGCUGUUAAGUCAGCGGUCAAAUGUCGGGGCUCAACCCCGGCCUGCCGUUGAAACUGGCGGC
rnacentral:rRNA from 1 species